rnacentral:rRNA from 1 species
GCAAGCGUUACUCGGAAUCACUGGGCGUAAAGAGCGUGUAUGCGGGUAGUUAAGUCAGAAGUGAAAUCCAAUAGCUCAACUAUUGAACUGCUUUUGAAACUGAUUACCUAGAAUAUGGGAGAGGUAGAUGGAAUUUCUGGUGUAGGGGUAAAAUCCGUAGAGAUCAGAAGGAAUACCGAUUGCGAAGGCGAUCUACUGGAACAUUAUUGACGCUGAGGCAUGAAAGCGUGGGGAGCAAACAGGAUUAGAUACCCUGGUAGUCCACGCCCUAAACGAUGCACACUAGUUGUUGCGAUGCUAGUCAUUGCAGUAAUGCACUUAACAGAUUAAGUGUGCCGCCUGGGGAGUACGGUCGCAAGAUUAAAACUCAAAGGAAUAGACGGGGACCCGCACAAGCGGUGGAGCAUGUGGUUUAAUUCGAAGAUACACGAAGAACCUUACCUGGGCUUGAUAUCCUAAGAAUCCUGUAGAGAUAUGGGAGUGCUAGUUUACUAGAACUUAGAGACAGGUGCUGCACGGCUGUCGUCAGCUCGUGUCGUGAGAUGUUGGGUUAAGUCCCGCAACGAGCGCAACCCUCGUGAUUAGUUGCUAACAGUUCGGCUGAGCACUCUAAUCAGACUGCCUUCGCAAGGAGGAGGAAGGUGAGGACGACGUCAAGUCAUCAUGGCCCUUAUGCCCAGGGCUACACACGUGCUACAAUGGCUAGGACAAAGAGAAGCGAUACUGCGAAGUGGAGCAAAUCUUAAAACCUAGUCUCAGUUCGGAUUGGAGUCUGCAACUCG